UGCUGUUCUCAGGGCGGGGUGCAAUUCCCCACCGGCGGUUACAGCCCGCGAGCGGCCCGUACGAUGUAAUGUACGGGUGUCAGCAGAUCCGGUGAAAGUCCGGGGCCGACGGUCAUAGUCCGGAUGAGAGAGAGCAGCG
rnacentral:ncRNA from 1 species